rnacentral:rRNA from 1 species
CCCUUAGAUGUCCGGGGCCGCACGCGCGCUACACUGAAGGAAUCAGCGUGGCUUUCUCCCUGACCCGAAAGGAUUGGGAAACCCGUUGAAUCUCCUUCGUGCUAGGGAUUGGGGCUUGUAAUUCUUCCCCAUGAACGAGGAAUUCCCAGUAAGCGCGAGUCAUAAGCUCGCGUUGAUUACGUCCCUGCCCUUUGUACACACCGCCCGUCGCUACUAUCGAUUGAGCGGUUCAGUGAGGGCCUCGGAUUGGUCUCGGUCUGGCGUGCAAGCGCCGGCACCGUUGGCCGAGAAGACGCUCGAACUCGAUCGCUUGGAGAAAGUAAAAGUCGUAACA